UUUCGAAGUGAAAUAAAAACCUAGAUGUGAAACUGACUCCGCUUGUAAGAACACCUCUUUCCUCUGUGCCAACGCCCUGUGUCCGCCUCUCUCCGGUGACCACCCCCUCUCUUCGGCUAGCUCGUCCUGUUGCGUUCGGCUGUCAGAAUAUUACCAUUUACCACCACCACGCCGCUUCUUCUUUCGCAUCAGGUUCUGUACCUUGAUCUUUCGCCAAGGGUUCGAACUUCGACGUGUUGGUUUUGGGACUGUAAUCGAAAUCGCCUCAUCGUACACCAUUUUCCAGAUGGAAUGGCUCAAGUAUCUUAAGCCCAAGAAUAAGCGUUUGACCAAAUUGGUCCAAAGGCGGAUACGUAAGAUAAGGGAGAGAAUAACAGCAGCUCCAAGGAUGGAAGCUCCAAUAGAAGAUAGGAGAAAAAGAAUA